AACGAACGCUGGCGGCAGGCUUAACACAUGCAAGUCGAGCGCCCUGCAAGGGGAGCGGCAGACGGGUGAGUAACACGUGGGAAUCUACCCAUCCCUACGGAACAACUCCGGGAAACUGGAGCUAAUACCGUAUACGCCCUUUGGGGGAAAGAUUUAUCGGGGAUGGAUGAGCCCGCGUUGGAUUAGCUAGUUGGUGGGGUAAAGGCCUACCAAGGCGACGAUCCAUAGCUGGUCUGAGAGGAUGAUCAGCCACAUUGGGACUGAGACACGGCCCAAACUCCUACGGGAGGCAGCAGUGGGGAAUAUUGGACAAUGGGCGCAAGCCUGAUCCAGCCAUGCCGCGUGAAUGAUGAAGGCCUUAGGGUUGUAAAGUUCUUUCACCGAUGAAGAUAAUGACGGUAGUCGGAGAAGAAGCCCCGGCUAACUUCGUGCCAGCCGCCGCAGUAA
rnacentral:rRNA from 1 species